rnacentral:rRNA from 1 species
CCUACGGGGGGCAGCAGUGAGGAAUAUUGGUCAAUGGACGAGAGUCUGAACCAGCCAAGUAGCGUGAAGGAUGACUGCCCUAUGGGUUGUAAACUUCUUUUAUAAAGGAAUAAAACGAGGCACGUGUGCCUUUUUGCAUGUACUUUAUGAAUAAGGAUCGGCUAACUCCGUGCCAGCAGCCGCGGUAAUACGGAGGAUCCGAGCGUUAUCCGGAUUGAUUGGGUUUAAAGGGAGCGUAGAUGGGUUGUUAAGUCAGUUGUGAAAGUUCGCGGCUCAACCGUAAAAUUGCAAUUGAUACUGGCAGUCUUGAGUACAGUUGAGGUAGGCGGAAUUCGUGGUGUAGCGGUGAAAUGCUUAGAUAUCACGAAGAACCCCGAUUGCGAAGGCAGCUUACUAAACUGUGACUGACAUUGAUGCUCGAAAGUGUGGGUAUCAAACAGGAUUAGAUACCCUUGUAGUC